rnacentral:rRNA from 1 species
CUUUUGCUGGCGACCGGCGCACGGUGAGUAACACAUAUCCAACCUGCCCUUUACUCGGGGAUAGCCUUUCGAAAGAAAGAUUAAUACCCGAUAGCAUAAUGAUUCCGCAUGGUUUCAUUAUUAAAGGAUUCCGGUAAAGGAUGGGGAUGCGUUCCAUUAGGUUGUUGGUGAGGUAACGGCCCACCAAGCCUUCGAUGGAUAGGGGUUCUGAGAGGAAGGUCCCCCACAUUGGAACUGAGACACGGUCCAA